rnacentral:misc_RNA from 1 species
GAUGAAGAACGUAGCGAAAUGCGAUAAGUAAUGUGAAUUGCAGAAUUCAGUGAAUCAUCGAAUCUUUGAACGCACAUUGCGCCCGCCAGUAUUCUGGCGGGCAUGCCUGUUCGAGCGUCAUUUCAACCCUCAAGCCCAGCUUGGUGUUGGGGAUCGGCACAGGCGCCCUCGGGCGCCCGCCGUCCCCUAAAUCUAGUGGCGGUCCCGCUGCAGCCUCCUCUGCGUAGUAGUUUUCUCCUCGCAAGGGCAGCUCGGUGCCGACCUCGCCGUAAAACCCCCAACUUCUGAAAGGUUGACCUCGAAUCAGGUAGGAAUACCCGCUGAACUUAAGCAUAUCAAUAAGCGGAGGA